rnacentral:rRNA from 1 species
AGCGAACGCUGGCGGCAGGCUUAACACAUGCAAGUCGAACGCUCGUAGCAAUACGGGAGUGGCAGACGGGUGAGUAACGCGUGGGAAUAUGCCUUUUGGUUCGGAAUAACUCAGGGAAACUUGAGCUAAUAGCGGAUAAGCCCGUGAGGGGAAAGAUUUAUCGCCAAAGGAUUAGCCCGCGUCCGAUUAGCUAGUUGGUGAGGUAAUGGCUCACCAAGGCGACGAUCGGUAGCUGGUCUGGGAGGGUGAUCAGCCACAUUGGGACUGAGACACGGCCCAAACUCCUACGGGAGGCAGCAGUGGGGAAUAUUGGACAAUGGGCGCAAGCCUGAUCCAGCCAUGCCGCGUGAGUGAUGAAGGCCUUAGGGUUGUAAAGCUCUUUUGUCCGGGAAGAUAAUGACGGUACCGGAAGAAUAAGCCCCGGCUAACUUCGUGCCAGCCGCCGCUGUAA